rnacentral:rRNA from 1 species
CUAGUAACUGCGAGUGAAGCGGGAAAAGCUCAAAUUUAAAAUCUGGCGGUCUCUGGCCGUCCGAGUUGUAAUCUAGAGAAGUAAUGCCCGCGCUGGACCGUGUACAAGUCUCCUGGAACGGAGCGUCAUAGAGGGUGAGAAUCCCGUCUCUGACACGGACUACCAGGGCUCUGUGGUAUGCUCUCAAAGAGUCGAGUUGUUUGGGAAUGCAGCUCUAAACGGGUGGUAAAUUCCAUCUAAAGCUAAAUAUUGGCGAGAGACCGAUAGCGAACAAGUACCGUGAGGGAAAGAUGAAAAGAACUUUGGAAAGAGAGUUAAACAGUACGUGAAAUUGCUGAAAGGGAAACGCUUGAAGUCAGUCGCGUUGGCCGGGGAUCAGCCUCGCUUUUUUGCGUGGUGUACUUUCUGGUUGACGGGUCAGCAUCAAUUUUGACCGCUGGAAAAAGGCUUGGGGAAUGUGGCAGCUUCGGCUGUGUUAUAGCCCCUUGUCACAUACGGCGGUUGGGAUUGAGGAACUCAGCACGCCGCAAGGCCGGGUUUCGACCACGUUCGUGCUUAGGAUGCUGGCAUAAUGGCUUUAAGCGACCCGUCUUGAAACACGGACCAAGGAGUCUAACAUGCCUGCGAGUGUUUGCGUGGUAAACCCGAGCGCGUAAUGAAAGUGAAAGUUGAUAGCCAUGCCCCUG